UGCAAGUCGAGCGCGGGAAGCGAGUGGAUCCCUUCGGGGUGAAGCUCGUGGAACGAGCGGCGGACGGGUGAGUAACACGUGGGCAACCUGCCUGUAAGAUCGGAAUAACCCCGGGAAACCGGGGCUAAUGCCGGGUAAUACUUUCUUUCGCAUGAAGGAAAGUUGAAAGAUGGCUUCUCGCUAUCACUUACAGAUGGGCCCGCGGCGCAUUAGCUAGUUGGUGAGGUAACGGCUCACCAAGGCGACGAUGCGUAGCCGACCUGAGAGGGUGAUCGGCCACACUGGGACUGAGACACGGCCCAGACUCCUACGGGAGGCAGCAGUAGGGAAUCUUCCGCAAUGGACGAAAGUCUGACGGAGCAACGCCGCGUGAACGAUGAAGGUCUUCGGAUCGUAAAGUUCUGUUGUUAGGGAAGAACAAGUACCGUGCGAAUAGAGCGGUACCUUGACGGUACCUAACGAGGAAGCCCCGGCUAACUACGUGCCAGCAGCCGCGGUAAUACGUAGGGGGCAAGCGUUGUCCGGAAUUAUUGGGCGUAAAGCGCGCGCAGGCGGUUCCUUAAGUCUGAUGUGAAAGCCCACGGCUCAACCGUGGAGGGUCAUUGGAAACUGGGGAACUUGAGGACAGAAGAGGAGAGUGGAAUUCCACGUGUAGCGGUGAAAUGCGUAGAUAUGUGGAGGAACACCAGUGGCGAAGGCGACUCUCUGGUCUGUUUCUGACGCUGAGGUGCGAAAGCGUGGGUAGCAAACAGGAUUAGAUACCCUGGUAGUCCACGCCGUAAACGAUGAGUGCUAGGUGUUAGGGGGCUUC
rnacentral:rRNA from 1 species